AGAGUUUGAUCCUGGCUCAGGAUGAACGCUGGCGGCGUGCCUAACACAUGCAAGUCGAGCGAAGCGGUUUUAAGGAAGUUUUCGGAUGGAAUUAAGACUGACUGAGCGGCGGACGGGUGAGUAACGCGUGGGUAACCUGCCUCAUACAGGGGGAUAACAGUUAGAAAUGGCUGCUAAUACCGCAUAAGCGCACAGCUUCGCAUGGAGCAGUGUGAAAAACUCCGGUGGUAUGAGAUGGACCCGCGUCUGAUUAGCUGGUUGGUAAGGUAACGGCUUACCAAGGCGACGAUCAGUAGCCGACCUGAGAGGGUGACCGGCCACAUUGGGACUGAGACACGGCCCAAACUCCUACGGGAGGCAGCAGUGGGGGAUAUUGCACAAUGGGGGAAACCCUGAUGCAGCGACGCCGCGUGAGUGAAGAAGUAUCUCGGUAUGUAAAGCUCUAUCAGCAGGGAAGAAAAUGACGGUACCUGACUAAGAAGCCCCGGCUAACUACGUGCCAGCAGCCGCGGU
rnacentral:rRNA from 1 species